UUCCGGUUGAUCCUGCCGGACCUGACUGCUAUCGGAUUGAUACUAAGCCAUGCGAGUCAUUGUAGCAAUACCAGGCAUACGGCUCAGUAACGCGUAGUCAACCUACCCUAUGGACGGGGAUAACCUCGGGAAACUGAGAAUAAUACCCGAUAGAACAUUAUUCCUGGAAUGGUUUAUGUUUCAAAUAAUUUAUUGCCGUAAGAUGGGACUGCGGCCUAUCAGUUUGUUGGUGAGGUAAUGGCCCACCAAGACUAUUACAGGUACGGGCUCUGAGAGGAGUAGCCCGGAGAUGGGUACUGAGACACGGACCCAGGCCCUAUGGGGCGCAGCAGGCGAGAAAACUUUGCAAUGUGCGAAAGCACGACAAGGUUAAUCCGAGUGGUUUCUGCUAAAGGAACCUUUUGACAGUCAUAGAACCACUGUUGAAUAAGGGGUGGGCAAGUUCUGGUGUCAGCCGCCGCGGUAAAACCAGCACCUCAAGUGGUCAGGAUGAUUAUUGGGCCUAAAGCAUCCGUAGCCUGCUUUGUCAGUUUUCGGUUAAAUCCAUACGCUCAACGUAUGGGCUGCCGGGAAUACUGCACAGCUAGGGAGUGGGAGAGGUAGACGGUACUCGGUAGGAAGGGUAAAAUCCUUUGAUCUAUUGAUGACCACCUG
rnacentral:rRNA from 1 species